rnacentral:rRNA from 1 species
AUGGCGUCGGCGUCGCGCGCGCUCCUCCUCUCCAGGGCCUCGCCCCUCCACGCCGCCGCCUCCCGCUUCCUCCGCCCGGUCGCGGCCGCGGGGAGCCUCCUCCCGGCGGCGCUGGUCCCGUCCCCCGCCGCGGCGCCCUGGGCGGCGGCGAGGCGAUUCGCGACGCAGCCCGCGAACUCGUCGCUGCGGGACUCGUCCCCGAACUGGAGCAACCGCCCGCCCAAGGAGACGAUCCUCCUCGACGGCUGCGACUUCGAGCACUGGCUCGUCGUCAUGGAGCCGCCCCCAGGCGACGGCGCCAACCCCGACGUCACCCGCGACGAGAUCAUCGACGGGUACAUCAAGACCCUCGCCCAGGUCGUCGGAAGUGAAGACGAAGCAAGGAUGAAGAUCUACUCUGUGUCAACUAGGCAUUAUUUUGCUUUUGGUGCCCUAGUAUCUGAGGAACUCUCCUACAAACUCAAAGAGUUGCCUAAAGUCCGUUGGGUUCUUCCUGAUUCAUACCUGGACGUCAGAAAUAAGGACUAUGGAGAUGGACAAGCUGUUCCUUACGACCCCAAAUACCAUGAGGAGUGGGUGAGAAACAAUGCCCGUGCCAAUGAAAGAUCCCGGCGCAAUGACAGGCCUCGCAACUUUGACAGGUCGAGGAACUUUGAAAGGAGAAGGGAGAACACACAGGCCUACCAGAGUGGGCCUCCAAACCAAAUGCCACCCCAUGAUGCUGCUCCUCCAAGUCGUGGUGCACAGGGCCCGCCACCGCCUUCAGGUGCUCCACCAAAUUACCAGCCCCAUGCACCAAACCCACAGGCAGGCUAUGCUGCAGGAGGUGGACCAAACUAUCCAAAUGCACCACCACCCCCUGGAUACCGAGGUGCCCCAGCCCCUGGCUACCAAGCUGGUAACCAAGGUUACCAGGGUAAUCCUGGUGGCAACAUGCACAAUGGACCAGGCCCAGCCUACCAUAGCAACAACCCUGGAUACCAGGGUGGAGCGCCAGGAGGCAACCCGCCGCCACCUUUCGCAGGUGGCAACCAGCCUCCUCCCUACCAUGGCGGUGGUCCUAGCUAUGGUGGUGGUGCACCAGACUACCAGGGCCAACCAGGUGGUAACCCAGGCUACCAAGGUGGCGGUAACUACAGCAACGCCGCCCCUCCUCCCUAUGAGGGCAGGGACGGGCCAGGGAGGAACUACCAGUAG